rnacentral:rRNA from 1 species
GACGAACGCUGGCGGCGUGCUUAACACAUGCAAGUCGAACGGAAAGGCCCUGCUUUUGUGGGGUGCUCGAGUGGCGAACGGGUGAGUAACACGUGAGUAACCUGCCCUUGACUUUGGGAUAACUUCAGGAAACUGGGGCUAAUACCGGAUAGGAGCUCCUGCUGCAUGGUGGGGGUUGGAAAGUUUCGGCGGUUGGGGAUGGACUCGCGGCUUAUCAGCUUGUUGGUGGGGUAGUGGCUUACCAAGGCUUUGACGGGUAGCCGGCCUGAGAGGGUGACCGGCCACAUUGGGACUGAGAUACGGCCCAGACUCCAACGGGAGGCAGCAGUGGGGAAUAUUGCACAAUGGGCGGAAGCCUGAUGCAGAAACGCCGCGUGCGGGAUGACGGCCUUCGGGUUGUAAACCGCUUUAGCCUGUGACGAAGCGUGAGUGACGGUAAUGGGUAAAGAAGCACCGGCUAACUACGUG